UGCUUUGCUGACGAGUGGCGGACGGGUGAGUAAUGUCUGGGAAACUGCCUGAUGGAGGGGGAUAACUACUGGAAACGGUGGCUAAUACCGCAUAACGUCGCAAGACCAAAGAGGGGGACCUUCGGGCCUCUUGCCAUCAGAUGUGCCCAGAUGGGAUUAGCUUGUUGGUGAGGUAACGGCUCACCAAGGCGACGAUCCCUAGCUGGUCUGAGAGGAUGACCAGCCACACUGGAACUGAGACACGGUCCAGACUCCUACGGGAGGCAGCAGUGGGGAAUAUUGCACAAUGGGCGCAAGCCUGAUGCAGCCAUGCCGCGUGUAUGAAGAAGGCCUUCGGGUUGUAAAGUACUUUCAGCGGGGAGGAAGGUGUUGUGGUUAAUAACCGCAGCAAUUGACGUUACCCGCAGAAGAAGCACCGGCUAACUCCGUGCCAGCAGCCGCGGUAAUACGGAGGGUGCAAGCGUUAAUCGGAAUUACUGGGCGUAAAGCGCACGCAGGCGGUCUGUCAAGUCGGAUGUGAAAUCCCCGGGCUCAACCUGGGAACUGCAUUCGAAACUGGCAGGCUUGAGUCUUGUAGAGGGGGGUAGAAUUCCAGGUGUAGCGGUGAAAUGCGUAGAGAUCUGGAGGAAUACCGGUGGCGAAGGCGGCCCCCUGGACAAAGACUGACGCUCAGGUGCGAAAGCGUGGGGAGCAAACAGGAUUAGAUACCCUGGUAGUCCACGCCGUAAACGAUGUCUACUUGGAGGUUGUGCCCUUGAGGCGUGGCUUCCGGAGCUAACGCGUUAAGUAGACCGCCUGGGGAGUACGGCCGCAAGGUUAAAACUCAAAUGAAUUGACGGGGGCCCGCACAAGCGGUGGAGCAUGUGGUUUAAUUCGAUGCAACGCGAAGAACCUUACCUGGUCUUGACAUCCACAGAACUUUCCAGAGAUGGAUUGGUGCCUUCGGGAACUGUGAGACAGGUGCUGCAUGGCUGUCGUCAGCUCGUGUUGUGAAAUGUUGGGUUAAGUCCCGCAACGAGCGCAACCCUUAUCCUUUGUUGCCAGCGGUCCGGCCGGGAACUCAAAGGAGACUGCCAGUGAUAAACUGGAGGAAGGUGGGGAUGACGUCAAGUCAUCAUGGCCCUUACGACCAGGGCUACACACGUGCUACAAUGGCGCAUACAAAGAGAAGCGACCUCGCGAGAGUAAGCGGACCUCAUAAAGUGCGUCGUAGUCCGGAUUGGAGUCUGCAACUCGACUCCAUGAAGUCGGAAUCGCUAGUAAUCGUGGAUCAGAAUGCCACGGUGAAUACGUUCCCGGGCCUUGUACACACCGCCCGUCACACCAUGGGAGUGGGUUGCAAAAGAAGUAGGUAGCUUAACCUUCGGGAGGGCGCUUACCACUUUGUGAUUCAUGACUGGGGUGAAGUCGUAACAAGGUAACCGUAGGGGAACCUGCGGUUGGAUCACCUCCUUACCUUAAAGAAGC
rnacentral:rRNA from 1 species